AUGAUAUCUGGUGGCGGGAGGAACCAUGGCUUGUUAGCCAUUGGGGAUGGACUGAUACGUUGUACUAGCACUCUCCCGCAGAUCAAGAGGCGCCAGACGAGCUCCGAUCCUGAGAUAAGGCCUCGUCCACGGCCAAUGGAUCUUGAAAUCAAGGCUGCUAUUGAGGAAGAGAGAGCAAAGACCCAGGAGCUUCUGGCAGAGGAAAGGAGGCAGACGGCAGAGAGGGAGGGGGAGACUAAGGAGAGGACGGCUAGGCUUUUGGAGGAGGAGAGGAACCGGAACGACUUGGCUAACCGGGCCAUAUACGAGAUCUUCGCGGUAAGUUUCUUCUACAUAUUAGCUAAAUCAUGCACGCAAUGUUCCUUUCAUUAG
rnacentral:rRNA from 1 species